ACUCUCUCUAGCUCAGUCGGUAGAGUGUGAGACUCUUAAUCUCAGGGUUGUGGGUUCAAGCCCUAUGUUGGGCA